rnacentral:rRNA from 1 species
AGCGAACGCUGGCGGCAGGCUUAACACAUGCAAGUCGAGCGCCCCGCAAGGGGAGCGGCAGACGGGAGAGUAACACGUGGGAACAUACCUUUUGGUUCGGAACAACUGAGGGAAACUUCAGCUAAUACCGGAUAAGCCCUUACGGGGAAAGAUUUGUCGCCGAAAGAUUGGCCCGCGUCUGAUUAGCUAGUUGGUGAGGUAACGGCUCACCAAGGCGACGAUCAGUAGCUGGUCUGAGAGGAUGAUCAGCCUCACUGGGACUGAGACACGGCCCAGACUCCUACGGGAGGCAGCAGUGGGGAAUAUUGGACAAUGGGCGCAAGCCUGAUCCAGCCAUGCCGCGUGAGUGAUGAAGGCCUUAGGGUUGUAAAGCUCUUUUGCCCGGGAAGAUAAUGACGGUACCGGGAGAAUAAGCCCCGGCUAACUUCGUGCCAGCAGCCGCGGUAA